AUUGAACGCUGGCGGCAGGCCUAACACAUGCAAGUCGAGCGGAUGAAGGGAGCUUGCUCCUGGAUUCAGCGGCGGACGGGUGAGUAAUGCCUAGGAAUCUGCCCGGUAGUGGGGGAUAACGUCCGGAAACGGGCGCUAAUACCGCAUACGUCCUGAGGGAGAAAGUGGGGGAUCUUCGGACCUCACGCUAUCAGAUGAGCCUAGGUCGGAUUAGCUAGUUGGUGGGGUAAAGGCCUACCAAGGCGACGAUCCGUAACUGGUCUGAGAGGAUGAUCAGUCAAACUGAAACGGGAACCCGGUCCGGACCCCUACGGAAGGCGGCGGGGGGAAUAUUGGACAAUGGGCGAAAGCCUGAUCCAGCCAUGCCGCGUGUGUGAAGAAGGUCUUCGGAUUGUAAAGCACUUUAAGUUGGGAGGAAGGGCAGUAAGUUAAUACCUUGCUGUUUUGACGUUACCAACAGAAUAAGCACCGGCUAACUUCGUG
rnacentral:rRNA from 1 species